ACCGGCGCACGGGUGAGUAACACGUAUCCAACCUGCCGCUUACUCGAGGAUAGCCUUUCGAAAGAAAGAUUAAUACCCGAUGGUAUAAAGAGUUCGCAUGUUCUCUUUAUUAAAGAAUUUCGGUAAGCGAUGGGGAUGCGUUCCAUUAGAUUGUUGGCGGGGUAACGGCCCACCAAGUCUACGAUGGAUAGGGGUUCUGAGAGGAAGGUCCCCCACAUUGGAACUGAGACACGGUCCAAACUCCUACGGGAGGCAGCAGUGAGGAAUAUUGGUCAAUGGACGAGAGUCUGAACCAGCCAAGUAGCGUGAAGGAUGACUGCCCUAUGGGUUGUAAACUUCUUUUAUAAGGGAAUAAAGUGAGGGACGUGUCCCUUUUUGUAUGUACCUUAUGAAUAAGGAUCGGCUAACUCCGUGCCAGCAGUCGCGGUAAUACGGAGGAUCCAAGCGUUAUCCGGAUUUAUUGGGUUUAAAGGGUGCGUAGGCGGGAGAUUAAGUCAGUGGUGAAAGUUUGCAGCUCAACUGUAAAAUUGCCAUUGAAACUGAUUUUCUUGAGUGUAAAUAAGGUAGGCGGAAUGUGUUGUGUAGCGGUGAAAUGCUUAGAUAUAACACAGAACACCAAUUGCGAAGGCAGCUUACUGGGAUACAACUGACGCUGAGGCACGAAAGCGUGGGGAUCAAACAGGAUUAGAUACCCUGGUAGUCCACGCA
rnacentral:rRNA from 1 species